AGUGAACGCUGGCGGUAGGCCUAACACAUGCAAGUCGAACGGCAGUACUGUAAGAGCUUGCUCUUAUGGGUGGCUAGUGGCGGACGGUUGAGGAAUACAUCGCAAUCUACUUUUUCGUGGGGGAUAACGUAGGGAAACCUACGCUAAUACCGCAUACUACCUACGGGUGAAAGCUGGGGAUCUUCGGACCUUGCGCGAUUGAAUGCGCCGAUCUCGGAUUAGCUAGUUGGCGGGGUAAAGGCCCACCAAGGCGCCGAUCCGUAGCUGGUCUGAGAGGAUGAUAAGCCACACGGGAACUGAGACACGGUCCAGACUACUGCGGGAGGGAGCAGUGAGGAAUAUUGAACAAUGGGCGCAAGCCUGAACCAAGCAUACCGAGUGGGUGAAGAAGGCCUUCGGGUUGUAAAGCACUUUUGUUGGGAAAGAAAAGCAGCAGGUUAGUACCCCGCUGUGCUGACGGUACCCAAAGAAUAAGCACCGGAUAACUUCGUG
rnacentral:rRNA from 1 species